AGAGUUUGAUCCUGGCUCAGAUUGAACGCUGGCGGUAGGCUUAACACAUGCAAGUCGUGCGAGAAAGUAUCUUCGGAUAUGAGUAGAGCGGCGGACGGGUGAGUAACGCGUAGGAAUCUACCUAGUAGAAGGGGAUAGCCCGGGGAAACCCGGAUUAAUACCGUAUACCUCCUUCGGGAGAAAGAAGGCCUCUCUUUGAAGCUUUCGCUAUUAGAUGAGCCUGCGUAAGAUUAGCUUGUUGGUGAGGUAAAGGCUCACCAAGGCGACGAUCUUUAGCUGGUCUGAGAGGACGAUCAGCCACAUUGGGACUGAGACACGGCCCAGACUCCUACGGGAGGCAGCAGUGGGGAAUAUUGGACAAUGGGCGCAAGCCUGAUCCAGCCAUACCGCGUGUGUGAAGAAGGCCUUCGGGUUGUAAAGCACUUUAAGCAGGGAGAAAAAGUUAUAAGUUAAUAUCUUAUAACCGUGAUGUUACCUGCAGAAUAAGCACCGGCUAAUUCCGUGCCAGCAGCCGCGGUAAUACGGAAGGUGCAAGCGUUAAUCGGAAUUACUGGGCGUAAAGCGCGCGUAGGUGGUUUGUUAAGUUGGAUGUGAAAGCCCUGGGCUCAACCUAGGAACUGCAUCCAAAACUAACUCACUAGAGUACGAUAGAGGGAGGUAGAAUUCAUAGUGUAGCGGUGGAAUGCGUAGAUAUUAUGAAGAAUACC
rnacentral:rRNA from 1 species